rnacentral:rRNA from 1 species
GGGAAUAUUGGACAAUGGGCGCAAGCCUGAUCCAGCCAUGCCGCGUGAGUGAUGAAGGCCCUAGGGUUGUAAAGCUCUUUCACCGGUGAAGAUAAUGACGGUAACCGGAGAAGAAGCCCCGGCUAACUUCGUGCCAGCAGCCGCGGUAAUACGAAGGGGGCUAGCGUUGUUCGGAUUUACUGGGCGUAAAGCGCACGUAGGCGGACUUUUAAGUCAGGGGUGAAAUCCCAGAGCUCAACUCUGGAACUGCCUUUGAUACUGGAAGUCUUGAGUAUGGUAGAGGUGAGUGGAAUUCCGAGUGUAGAGGUGAAAUUCGUAGAUAUUCGGAGGAACACCAGUGGCGAAGGCGG